rnacentral:misc_RNA from 1 species
GAUGAAGAACGCAGCGAAAUGCGAUAAGUAAUGUGAAUUGCAGAAUUCAGUGAAUCAUCGAAUCUUUGAUCGCACAUUGCGCCCGCCAGUAUUCUGGCGGGCAUGCCUGUUCGAGCGUCAUUACAACCCUCAGGCCCCCGGGCCUGGCGUUGGGGAUCGGCGGAGCCCCCCGUGGGCACACGCCGUCCCCCAAAUGCAGUGGCGGUCCCGCCGCAGCUUCCAUCGCGUAGUAGCUAACACCUCGCGACUGGAGAGCGGCGCGGCCACGCCGUAAAACACCCAACUCUUCUGAAGUUGACCUCGAAUCAGGUAGGAAUACCCGCUGAACUUAAGCAUAUCAAUAAGCGGAGGA